rnacentral:tRNA from 1 species
GCGGCAUUAGCUCAAUGGAUAGAGCAAGGGAUUUCUACUCCCUAGGUUGUGGGUUCAAGUCCUGCAUGCCGCG